rnacentral:rRNA from 1 species
UACGUAGGUGGCGAGCGUUGUCCGGAAUUACUGGGUGUAAAGGGCGCGUAGACGGGUAUGUAAGUCAGAUGUGAAAUACCGGGGCUCAACUCCGGGGCUGCAUUUGAAACUAUGUAUCUUGAGUGCAGGAGAGGUAAGUGGAAUUCCUAGUGUAGCGGUGAAAUGCGUAGAUAUUAGGAGGAACACCAGUGGCGAAGGCGACUUACUGGACUGUAACUGACGUUGAGGCGCGAAAGCGUGGGUAGCAAACAGGAUUAGAUACCCUGGUAGUCCACGCCGUAAACGAUGAUUACUAGGUGUAGGUGGUAUCGACCCCAUCUGUGCCGGAGUUAACACAAUAAGUAAUCCACCUGGGGAGUACGGCCGCAAGGUUGAA